AGGUGUGAUCAUACCAGCACUAAUGCACUGGGUCCCAUCAGAAAUCCUCAGUUAAGCGUACUUGGGCGAGAGUAGUACUAGAAUGGGUGACCUCCUAAGAAGUCUUGUGUUACACCUC